rnacentral:rRNA from 1 species
ACGGAAGGCAGCAGUGGGGAAUAUUGCACAAUGGGGGAACCCUGAUGCAGCGACGCCGCGUGAGUGAAGAAGUAUUUCGGUAUGUAAAGCUCUAUCAGCAGGGAAGAAAAUGACGGUACCUGACUAAGAAGCCCCGGCUAACUACGUGCCAGCAGCCGCGGUAAUACGUAGGGGGCAAGCGUUAUCCGGAUUUACUGGGUGUAAAGGGUGAGUAGGCGGCACGGCAAGUCAGAAGUGAAAUCCCAGGGCUCAACCCUGGAACUGCUUUUGAAACUGUCGAGCUAGAGUACAGGAGAGGUAAGCGGAAUUCCUAGUGUAGCGGUGAAAUGCGUAGAUAUUAGGAGGAACACCAGUGGCGAAGGCGGCUUACUGGACUGACACUGACGCUGAGGCACGAAAGCGUGGGGAGCAAACAGGAUUAGAUACCCUGGUA